CAGUUCGGUUAGAACAAUACAAGUCUCAAACAAAUUUUUUUUCUUUUCUUUUUUUCAAAAUAGAUAGCACGCUAUCUGUUUUAUUUAUUUUAUUUAAAAAUAAAUUUAGCUGAAAAUGUGAAUCAAUUAGGAUUUGAACUUGGGAGCUCGGAUAUUAAUUAUCAAGUCCUUUGUCACUUGCUCUAGAGACGAUCAGUUCUCAAAUUGAAUUUGCUGACUAGUUUUAUGCACACAUUUCAU
rnacentral:lncRNA from 1 species